AGAGUUUGAUCAUGGCUCAGGAUGAACGCUAGCGGCAGGCUUAAUACAUGCAAGUCGAGGGGUAACAGGGGUAGCAAUACCUGCUGACGACCGGCAAACGGGUGCGGAACACGUACGCAACCUUCCCAUAACUGGUGAAUAGCCCUCCGAAAGGAGGAUUAAUACACCGUAACAUAAUGAAAUGGCAUCAUUUUAUUAUUAUAGGCUUCGGUCGGUUUUGGAUGGGCGUGCGCCUGAUUAGGUAGUUGGCGGGGUAACGGCCCACCAAGCCUGCGAUCAGUAACUGGUGUGAGAGCACGACCAGUCACACGGGCACUGAGACACGGGCCCGACUCCUACGGGAGGCAGCAGUGAGGAAUAUUGGUCAAUGGACGAAAGUCUGAACCAGCCAUGCCGCGUGAAGGAUGAAGGCCCUCUGGGUUGUAAACUUCUUUUAUCUGGGACGAAAAAAGGGCAUUCUUGCUCACUUGACGGUACCAGAGGAAUAAGCACCGGCUAACUCCGUGCCAGCAGCCGCGGUAAUACGGAGGGUGCAAGCGUUAUCCGGAUUUACUGGGUUUAAAGGGUGCGUAGGUGGGUUGGUAAGUCAGUGGUGAAAUCUUCGAGCUUAACUCGGAAACUGCCAUUGAUACUAUUAAUCUUGAAUUAUCUGGAGGUAAGCGGAAUAUGUCAUGUAGCGGUGAAAUGCUUAGAUAUGACAUAGAACACCCAUUGCGAAGGCAGCUUACUACGGAUACAUUGACACUGAGGCGCGAAAGCGUGGGGAUCAAACAGGAUUAGAUACCCUAGUAGUCC
rnacentral:rRNA from 1 species